CGUCACACUAUCAUUAACUGAAUCCAUAGGUUAAUGAGGCGAACCGGGGGAACUGAAACAUCUAAGUACCCCGAGGAAAAGAAAUCAACCGAGAUUCCCCCAGUAGCGGCGAGCGAACGGGGAGGAGCCCAGAGCCUGAAUCAGUAUGUGUGUUAGUGGAAGCGUCUGGAAAGGCGUGCGAUACAGGGUGACAGCCCCGUACACAAAAAUGCACAUGCUGUGAGCUCGAUGAGUAGGGCGGGACACGUGGUAUCCUGUCUGAAUAUGGGGGGACCAUCCUCCAAGGCUAAAUACUCCUGACUGACCGAUAGUGAACCAGUACCGUGAGGGAAAGGCGAAAAGAACCCCGGCGAGGGGAGUGAAAAAGAACCUGAAACCGUGUACGUACAAGCAGUGGGAGCCUCUUUAAUGGGGUGACUGCGUACCUUUUGUAUAAUGGGUCAGCGACUUAUAUUCUGUAGCAAGGUUAACCGAAUAGGGGAGCCGAAGGGAAACCGAGUCUUAACUGGGCGUUAAGUUGCAGGGUAUAGACCCGAAACCCGGUGAUCUAGCCAUGGGCAGGUUGAAGGUUGGGUAACACUAACUGGAGGACCGAACCGACUAAUGUUGAAAAAUUAGCGGAUGACUUGUGGCUGGGGGUGAAAGGCCAAUCAAACCGGGAGAUAGCUGGUUCUCCCCGAAAGCUAUUUAGGUAGCGCCUCGUGAAUUCAUCUCCGGGGGUAGAGCACUGUUUCGGCAAGGGGGUCAUCCCGACUUACCAACCCGAUGCAAACUGCGAAUACCGGAGAAUGUUAUCACGGGAGACACACGGCGGGUGCUAACGUCCGUCGUGAAGAGGGAAACAACCCAGACCGCC
rnacentral:rRNA from 1 species